rnacentral:misc_RNA from 1 species
UUAAGUAAAAGUCGUAACAAGGUUUCCGUAGGUGAACCUGCGGAAGGAUCAUUAUUGUAUAACCGAGGUGCGAGGGCUGUCGCUGACCCGAAAGGUCGUGCACGCCCGAGUGCCCUCACACACAUCCAUCUCACCCCUAUGUGCACCACCGCGUGGGUCCCCCUUUGGCUUGUUCGGAGGGGGGCUUACGUUUUCACACAAACUUUGUAUGCAGUGUAGAAUGUAUUUUUUGUUUUUGCGAUCACGCAAUCAAUACAACUUUCAACAACGGAUCUCUUGGCUCUC